rnacentral:rRNA from 1 species
UACGGGGGGGGCAAGCGUUGUCCGGAAUUACUGGGCGUAAAGGGCGCGUAGGCGGCCAACUAAGUCAGACGUGAAAUCCCUCGGCUUAACCGGGGAACUGCGUCUGAUACUGGAUGGCUUGAAUCCGGGAGAGGGAUGCGGAAUUCCAGGUGUAGCGGUGAAAUGCGUAGAUAUCUGGAGGAACACCGGUGGCGAAGGCGGCAUCCUGGACCGGCAUUGACGCUGAUGAGCGAAAGCCAGGGGAGCAAACGGG